rnacentral:rRNA from 1 species
UACGAAGGGGGCUAGCGUUGCUCGGAAUCACUGGGCGUAAAGGGUGCGUAGGCGGGUUUUUAAGUCAGAGGUGAAAUCCUGGAGCUCAACUCCAGAACUGCCUUUGAUACUGAAAGUCUUGAGUACGGGAGAGGUGAGUGGAACUGCGAGUGUAGAGGUGAAAUUCGUAGAUAUUCGCAAGAACACCAGUGGCGAAGGCAGCUCACUGGCCCGUAACUGACGCUGAGGCACGAAAGCGUGGGGAGCAAACAGG